rnacentral:rRNA from 1 species
UCAAGGGGUAGCAAUACACCGGCGUACGGGUGCGUAACGCGUAUGGGACCUGCCCUUAUCUGGGGGAUAACUCGGGGAAACUCGAGCUAAUACCGCAUAAGACAGUAGAAUGGCAUCAUUCAGCUAUUAAAGAUUUAUUGGAUAAGGAUGGCCAUGCGUAAGAUUAGAUAGUUGGCGAGGUAACGGCUCACCAAGUCUACGAUCUUUAGGGGCUCUGAGAGGAGAAUCCCCCACACUGGCACUGGGAUACGGGCCAGACUCCUACGGGAGGCAGCAGUAGGGAAUAUUGGGCAAUGGGCGGAAGCCUGACCCAGCCACGCCGCGUGCAGGAAGACGGCCCUCUGGGUUGUAAACUGCUUUUAACUGGGAAGAAAAGAGGCCUUGCGAGGCAAGUUGACGGUACCAGUUGAAUAAGCCACGGCUAACUACGUGCCAGCAGCCGCGGUAAUACGUAGGUGGCGAGCGUUAUCCGGAUUUAUUGGGUUUAAAGGGAGCGUAGGCGGCUGAUUAAGUCAGCGGUGAAAGGUAGCAGCUUAACUGUUUUACAUGCCGUUGAUACUGGUUAGCUUGAGUUGACAGAAGGCAGAUAGAAUUCCUGAUGUAGCGGUGAAAUGCUUAGAUAUCGGGAGGAAUACCGAUUGCGAAGGCAGUCUGCUGCAGUCACACUGACGCUGAGGCUCGAAGGUGCGGGGAUCAAACA